CACAAACCUGGUCAAUUAACCUCUUUGCUGCUUGGUUUAAGUGAGUCCCACAACCUGCCUAAUGAAGAGAAAGAAACUCCCUCAAUCCUGCUAAGAGGUUAGAGGACAACGUUGAGAAACUGAUUUGAGAGGAAUUGAAUUUGCUAUUCUGGGUUCACAACUCCAGCCCUAAUCCUGAUAGCGCAGCAAGAAGGGCUGCCAUAAUCUUGAAGGGUCCCUUUGAGAGAGUGUGGGACUGCAGUGAGGAUGGAACAGGGCAGCUUUCCCAGGCAGGGGAUGUUGUCUUGGUUAUUCACGGAUCUGCAUCACCGCCCUUCCUGGAACCUGGCAGGCGGCAGUACAGAGCUGGUGAAGGAGGAAUGAAGGAGGAAGCCAUGCUGCACUGAUGAUGGUUUGGCGAUGCUGGUCUACACCAGAAAAAUUGGAUUCUCCCUAGAAAAGAGAUUUGAAAUUCCCUGGAGAUUUCUGACCAUGUCCUUUGGAAGAAAUAUUCAUACAGCCAGGGAAACCUUAAAAUCAACUUGCUUUUAUUCUUGCCCAAAAUUAAAGGCUUGCCUACCAACAACUUUCCUCUCAAAAAUUGACAUCUAUGAUUGCCAAUCUUUUAGUAGGUUUUUAUGUUUGUUUGUUUGUUUUGUUUUAUUUUGUUUUGUUUUUUAAACAGGGUCUGUCACCGGGAUGGAGUGCAGUGGUGUAAUCACAGCUCACUGCAGCCUCUACCUCCCGAGCUCAAGUGAUUCUCCCGUCUCAGCCUCCCGAGUAGCUGGGACUACAGGCUUACACCACCACACCCGGCUAAUUAAAAACAUUUUUUUGUAGAGAUGGAAGUCUCCCUAUGUUGCCCAGGCUGGUCUCAAACUCCUAAGCUCAAGCAAUCCUCCUACCUUGGCCUCCCAAAGUGCUGAGAUUACAAGCAUGAGCCACCGUGCCUGGUCUAGCAUGAUUUUUAUCACGACUUUUUCUGUCUUUUAAGAUUGGAAAGGCAUAAAUCAAUAUUUCAGGCCGAGCAGCGCUUGUUUGCCAUCAUUCAUCCAGCAGAGGUCUCUCUUGCCCACCAUACGCUCAGAAGAGUCCCUUGCUUGUGUGUGUGUAUUCAGUACCAGGGGCGUGACCGUCAGGCUGCAGAAUGAAGAAAUACGGACAAAGACUUUCAGGCCUGAGAGACUAAGGAGAAAAGAAUCUGUGGCUUUGGAGGUGGGAUUGCAAUGUUUGAGAAAUGUAUACUUUAAUAAUGACUGUGUUUGAACAGUAGGCUUCAAGUCUGUACUUUAAACUUCUCAAAUUUUGAAUAAAUUGGUCACUUCUUAUUGGAAAAUUAUUAGUUUUACUUGUGCUGUUAAACUUACAUAUACACUGUGUCUCCUUUCUGUGUGUCAUUAUCAAGCUGUGCAAAUAGGGAAAGGGGAAGUCACGUUGCCUCUGUUUCCAUUUGUCCAGGCCACUCUCAGCCAGAUAUCUCAUCCCAGAGUGGAGCUUGGCC
rnacentral:lncRNA from 1 species